AGUGAUGCGCAAAGAGCUGGUUUUCUGUUCACAGAGAAAUAUCCUAACAACUCCAACUCAGCCACUUCAUCUCAAUAGACAACCCGAAUAUCAAGGCGUUAAGUUUCUUCUGGAUGCAGUUACAGUCACAGCUUACAAGCCAGCAGCUGUUGAUUUAUUGAGAUUUUCUCCUCUCUCUGUUACCUGACCUGCUGCCUGUGAACAUCCUGCGCAUAGAACCUUUAUCCCAUUCGAUGUAAUUAAACCGGCCAAUCAAAAAGACAGCCUGUUACAGCACUUGUCAUUAGAUUGACGCCAUGCAUGCCUUUGAAGAUCAUUUAUACAUACAAUUUAAGCAUGAUAGUCAAUAAGUGCCUGCGUUUGCUUCUUAAACGACCCGCAGUCCUGAGCAUUUACGAUGGAAUUCCUCAUCUUGAAAUAUUGGGAAGGCAGGAAAACGCCUGUCACUGUUAAGACAAAAAUGAGGGAAUGACAAAGAACAAUAAGACCAGCCAAGUCCUGUUAUCAGCCAAGUCCUGUGGCCAGACACGUCUUGUGGCCAGCCAAGUCCUGUUAUCAGCCAAGUCCUGUGGCCAGACACGUCUUGUGGCCAGACACGUCUUGUGGCCAGACACGUCUUGUGGCCAGCCAAGUCUUGUGAUCAGCCAAGUCCUGUGGCCAGACACGUCUUGUGGCCAGCCAAGUUCUGUGAUCAGCCAAGUUAUGUGGCCAGCCAAGUCCUGUGAUCAGCCAAGUCCUGUGGCCAGACACGUCUUGUGGCCAGCCAUGUCCUGUGAUCAGCCAAGUCCUGUGAUCAGCUUAGUUCUGUGGCCAGCCAAGUCCUGUGAUCAGCCAAGUUUUAGGAUCAGCUUAGUUCUGUGGCCAGCCAAGUCAUGCCACAUGCCAAGUGUUUUUACCAGCCAUGUCCUAUGACUAGCAACUUUGUCUCGUGUGUACAGUCUGAUUGUAUGGGAAGAAAAAUCUUCAUUUCAUAUUGUAUGGGUAUUAUGAUACUGACAGUUACUUGAUGAUUAAGUAUUUUGUUAUAUAUUGGUAAAUAGACCAAUAUGAUAAGGGGAAACUUAGUAAUAGCAGUAAUGUAAAGUUUUAUUUCAAGAGCAAAAUAAUGCAAGUACUGCUAUUGUGUCUGUAUUCAGAAACUGACUCUAUAUAGCUUUAUCCUGAUUAUCGUAAACAGACAGACAAAAUGAUUUUACAAUUGUUUUUUUUAAACAUUGAUUUUAAGCCUUCACAAAGUUGUUUAAAUAAUCCUGAUACCUUGGACAGUAUUUAACUUAUUUAUUGGCUUAACAAGACAUGUUUAUUUUUAGUUUUUACCUAUAAAAUAGCAAUAUGUGCUAGGUAAAAUAAUUGAUCAGAACGGUUCAUAAUUGUGAUGCUUCUAUUUUGAUAUGUCUGUCAUUCUGUCUGUGUACAUUUAUCAUCAGUUUGCUCUUUUGAGGCAGUAUUUUAUCAAGAAUUUCAUGUAGUGAUGUAACAGCAAAAUAUCAAAUAAUAAUUUGAUUUAUCCAAACUAUAUUAACCUUCUGUUAAUUAUCAAUUUAUUUAUUGACAACUGAAACUUUGUUUAAUAUAAACAAUAGUUAAGCGCGUUAUAAAAAUUGUGUGAAUGUACAUGCAUAAUAUUGCAAUAAUUGAUGCACACAUUUAGAAGUGCAUCUUAAUUGUAAUGAAGUUUGUUUAAUUAUUGAAAAAGGAUGCUUUCUUUGUUGAAAAGUAAUUCCUUCACA